CCCAGCAGACACCCCAGGAAGGAGAAGGCUGGCCAAAUUAACUCUGCCCAAGGGUUGCAAGCCAGGCAGUGAAGUCCCUUUGGAGCAGCCCAAAUAAUCCCUCUGUGCAAACAGGAAGGCAGCGAGCAAGGAAAGCAAGAGUGAUGUUACCCUACCUGAGUAUUAUUGUCUUCCAGCAAGCUUCCAGGGGUGAGAGGCUUUUAUUUUCUCUUUUUCCUCCCCCUCUCCCAUAAAUGCAGAGCUUGGCACAAGCACACAGUCCAUGCCAUCCCUGCUCACACCAGGGAAGGGGCAAGUGCUGGAGGCUGUGGGCCAAGCCGUGUGAAGGGGAGGAACAGGAGGAGGGGGAGGAAGCCCAGUGAACAGGGAGAAGAGGAGAGGAAACAGGAGAGGAAAUAGUCCAGGGAGAGUGGCCUGAGGUGGGGAAGGCAGGGCCAAAAGAGUGGAAGGAGAUCCUUGCAGAAAUGGGCUAUGUGAGAGCUCUUCCUUCUGUGCCUUCCCCUGGCAGAUGCUCUAGAUCUGGAGAUGUUUGGGGAGGAAUCGGCUGAUUUUUGGGGACGUGGUGGCUGAAAAAGGGAGAGGGACAGAGGACUGAAAGGAACCCUCCCUGCUGCUGACCCCAGGGCCCCUGGCACACCUGGAGUGCCGGAGGAUGAGAUGUGAGGUGAGUAGGUGUGCCCAGCCCCCUGCCACACGCAGAGCCCCUGUGGCUGCUGCACAGAGGCCUCACGGCUCCUUCCCCCUCCCUGGCCACCUUGUUCUUCAGAGAAGGAAGGGUGGGAGGGAAAACCCAUGAUCUUGCUGGCCUGCUGCCAGUUGCUAAGGCAGUUUCUUCAAAAGGGAGGGGAGCUGUGGAAGGAGGGAGCUGCCUGCAGAGGAGGCAGAUGAUGUAUGCAGGGACCAGGCAGAGAGAGGAGCCUGCAGCCACCAGCGGUGGAGACAAAUGGGACCCGGGGCUGAGGGGCAGCAGGGAGCCCAGAGGAGAGGGGUGAGGUGGAAAGGGACAGGGGGGCCUGCAGAAGCAGCUCAGCCAUGGAGCCAACAUCCCAGCAGAGCAUCUCAGCUGAUGGGCUCGCUGUGGUUCACAGCAGCUCUAGGAAGCUCUGCCUGUGGCAGGAGGGGGUUUCAUUCUCCCAUGGUUUUUCCCUGCUGUGUUUCCUCUGGGAGGAGCUUGCUGUGGCUCUUGGUGGCUGUGGAGUCGCUGCCCUGACUGGGGACACCCGGCAUCUGCAGAGCCAAACACAGACCUGGGCCAAAGCUGCUGGACACAAGCCCCUGCCCGGUGCCUGGAAACGCCGCUCCUGGGCCACGCUGACACCACCGAGGGAGGAGCAGAGGGACUGUCCCUCAGUCCCCAGGGCACCCCAGGGCCCUGGCACCUCGAGGAGCAAGGUAAGUGCCUCACUCCUCCGGUGAGGAGCAGCUCCCACCAGGGGGGCCCAUCCUAAAAGCCCAGAGCAAUGGUUUGCCCUCGCUGAGGUGGAAAGUUGGAGGGUGGAGUGGGUGGGGAGCUGCUCACGUCAAGAGGGGGAAGAAGGGCUCUGUGCAGAGCCUGGGUGUUCUGCUCUGGAGGCAGCUCUCGCUGACAAGUCACAAGGGAGGAAAUCAGCUCUUGAAACGUAGGCGGCAACAAAACCGUGGCAGCUUCGGGAGUGCAAGGGCGGCAUCUCCGCCGGCCCUGCCUGGGAGCGCCUGGCCGUGUCCGUGCGGGAGCGGAUCCCGCGGGGGCCGAGUGGGAGCCGCGCCCCCGGGAAGGCUUCACCCCUGCGAGCGCAGCGCUCGCUGAGCAGGCAGAAAUUCAAUCCUGGGCCCGGCUUCACUUCUCCCACUUCUCCUUUCUUUGCGCUUGUCGCGCCCCGCGUCCUCGCAGCCAUUUGUCCCCGGCGGCAGCUGGUGCGAGCCCGGGGCGCCGCGCCGUAACGCGAGCCGCAGCCGGGAUGCUGCGGGCGGCGCGCCGGGACGGGAGCGCUGCUUUCCCCGCUGGCUCCCGGCGCUCUGGAAAGCCAAAAUGGAGCAGUUCGUGCUCCCGUGGGUGUGGGAGACCGGGCGAGGCGUGCGCAGGGGGUGACUCAUGAGCGAACACCGCAGCCGGGGCCAGCCCAGGGCGCUGCGCAGGCCACAAAGGGCCGGAGCCAAAGGCAGGGGCGAGAUCCCGCUCCUGGCUGGCCCUGAAAGCGAACACCGGGCACCUGGAGGAGCAGCAGGGCACUGAUAAACGAAGCGGGGGAUUGAGGUAUCAGAUGUUUCCUGCUGGGAUUUAAUGGCCUGGAGCACAGUGCGCGCCGGGCAGUAGAAGCGGGCAGGUCCAGCAGAGCCGAGCAUCCCUCGGCACACGGGCAGGGCCACCGCGGGCACCUCGCUGUGCUGGAGAGGACAAAAGGCUCACAGCAGGAACGGGCCUGGCACAACGCGAUGUUUCCCUUGUUCCGUCAGGUGCAGCGGGGUCAGACCGCGCUGUCCCUCCCCUGUCCCUUGGCACCGCCCGCCCCUCCUCCUGCAGCCCUCACGGGGUCUUGCCUUCCCCUGACUGCCCUCUUUGGUGGAGAGAAAGAACAAAGCCAGGGUUUAUUUUAAUUGUUUAUUGUAUAAUAUAAAACUACAAAAGUAAGACUGCUCAUUUCCAUGUACAUUUGUCCAAUUGUAUUUUUGAUUACAGCCCAUACCUACAUGUGAAUACAGUAAUCUGGUUUCAGAUGUCUGUAAUAUUGCAUAGAAAAGGCACAGCUCUAAGGUCUGUGGGAGGGGAAGGGGAAAUACAGCCUUUUUUAUUUAUUUUUUUCCCAUUUUUUCCUUUUUUUUUUUCUCUUUUUUUAAAAUUUUUU